rnacentral:rRNA from 1 species
UAAAACGUAGGUGGCAAGCGUUGUCCGGAAUUACUGGGUGUAAAGGGAGUGCAGGUGGAUUGACAAGUCGAAUGUGAAAUGCAGAGGCUCAACCUCUGAACUGCGUUCGAUACUGUUGAUCUUGAGUGGAGUAGGGGCAGGCGGAAUUCCCGGUGUAGCGGUGGAAUGCGUAGAUAUCGGGAGGAAUACCGGUAGCGAAGGCGGCCUGCUGGGCUCUAACUGACACUGAGGCUCGAAAGCGUGGGGAGCAAACAGGAUUAGAUACCCUGGUAGUCCACGCCGUAAACGAUGAUUACUAGGUGUGGGGGGACUGACCCCUUCCGUGCCGAAGUUAACACAUUAAGUAAUCCACCUGGGGAGUACGACCGCAAGGUUGAAACUCAAAGGAAUUGACGGGGGCCCGCACAAGCGGAGGAACAUGUGGUUUAAUUCGAUGAUACGCGAGGAACCUUACCCGGGCUCGAACGGCAGAGGAACAAUCCAGAGAUGGUGCGGCCCUUCGGGGCUUCUGUCGAGGUGCUGCAUGGUUGUCGUCAGCUCGUGCCGUGAGGUGUCGGCUUAAGUGCCAUAACGAGCGCAACCCUUUUCAUCAGUUGGCAUCACGUGAUGGUGGGCACUCUGGUGAUACUGGCACC